UAUGACCUGGGCUACACACGUGCUACAAUGGGAAGUACAACGAGUUGCGAAGUCGCGAGGCUAAGCUAAUCUCUUAAAGCUUCUCUCAGUUCGGAUUGCAGGCUGCAACUCGCCUGCAUGAAGCCGGAAUCGCUAGUAAUCGCGGAUCAGCACGCCGCGGUGAAUACGUUCCCGGGCCUUGUACACACCGCCCGUCACACCACGAGAGUUUGUAACACCCGAAGUCGGUGAGGUAACCUUUUGGAGCCAGCCGCCUAAGGUGGGAUAGAUGAUUGGGGUGAAGUCGUAACAAGGUAGCCGUAUCGGAAGGUGCGGCUGGAUCACCUCCUUU
rnacentral:rRNA from 1 species